UCGGAUGGGAACCGUGCUUCGACCUGAGCAAAUUCUUCCCACGCGCCAGCAAGCCAGCCCCUCAAAAAACUGGGCACAUGAGUUCUGCUCGGGCAUUGACUCCUUUACAGAUUCUGGUUGACAAAGAAAUGUCCUGUAAGUUACUCGGGUACAACACCUAGGAUCUGAUUGGGCAGAAGCUGUCGUUACUUCUCUGCAAAACCAAUCAGAGCCCUGAGGAGGCCCUGGGGGAGGAGGAUCUAGAGGCUACAGGAAACCUUGUGAUGGUUUCAGGGAAAGUGGUUGAUGCUGUGAGCAGUGAUGGUGCUGGGAUCCCAGUGUCUGUAUGGGUGUACAGACUAAACAACGAGGGAAGGCGCUGUCUGGUGGUGAUGGAGCCUGUGGAGAGAAUCUCGGCCUGUGUCUCCUUUGGGGAAAGCGUAAGCUCUUGGAAGUAGUGAGAGGUUUUUGGAAUAAAUUACAGCUAUAGUUAUACAGUUAAGUACAGUUUUGGAACAUAAUAUACCGAUCAGUUAGGAAUGAAAUCAAAGAGGUUCUGUAUCACACCUUGAUGCAGGCUUUUAAUACAGGAGCACCAUUUGGUUUAGUGACACAAUCCAGCUUUUGUUGAUCAACCAAAUGAUAAAGCAAAUGGUACAUCUCCAUCUUAGAGAUGUCUUUGUUAAUGCAACAUCAUCUGCCGGAAAAUGGGCAACCUGUUGAUUUUGUCAGAAAGGAUUACCAAUGGAAGUCACAGAACAAACUACACCGACUCUGGGGCAUAGAAGUUAUACAGCAUCAUCUUGAUGGACAACUCAGGUGUGGUACAGACUCAUUAUUCCUAGUCAGGCAUCUUCUGUCACUGAAGGUCAAUAACAGACCGAAAACACUAUGUAACACAAUUUUUGUUCCUGGGUAGUAAGUGUUA